GAUGAACGCUGGCGGCGUGCCUAAUACAUGCAAGUCGAGCGAACAGACGAGGAGCUUGCUCCUCUGACGUUAGCGGCGGACGGGUGAGUAACACGUGGAUAACCUACCUAUAAGACUGGGAUAACUUCGGGAAACCGGAGCUAAUACCGGAUAAUAUAUUGAACCGCAUGGUUCAAUAGUGAAAGACGGUUUUGCUGUCACUUAUAGAUGGAUCCGCGCCGCAUUAGCUAGUUGGUAAGGUAACGGCUUACCAAGGCAACGAUGCGUAGCCGACCUGAGAGGGUGAUCGGCCACACUGGAACUGAGACACGGUCCAGACCCCUACGGGAGGUAGCAGUAGGGAAUCUUCCGCAAUGGGCGAAAGCUUGACGGAGCAACGCCGCGUGAGUGAUGAAGGUCUUCGGAUCGUAAAACUCUGUUAUUAGGGAAGAACAAAUGUGUAAGUAACUAUGCACGUCUUGACGGUACCUAAUCAGAAAGCCACGGCUAACUACGUG
rnacentral:rRNA from 1 species